UGGGGAAUUUUGGACAAUGGACGCAAGUCUGAUCCAGCCAUGCCGCGUGCGGGAAGAAGGCCUUCGGGUUGUAAACCGCUUUUGUCGGGGAAGAAACGAGUUUCUCUAAUACAGAGACUUAAUGACGGUACCUGAAGAAUAAGCACCGGCUAACUACGUGCCAGCAGCCGCGGUAAUACGUAGGGUGCAAGCGUUAAUCGGAAUUACUGGGCGUAAAGCGUGCGCAGGCGGUUAUGCAAGGCAGAGGUGAAAUCCCCGGGCUCAACCUGGGAACUGCCUUUGUGACUGCAUAGCUAGAGUACGGUAGAGGGGGAUGGAAUUCCGCGUGUAGCAGUGAAAUGCGUAGAUAUGCGGAGGAACACCGAUGGCGAAGGCAAUCCCCUGGACCUGUACUGACGCUCAUGCACGAAAGCGUGGGGAGCAAACA
rnacentral:rRNA from 1 species